GCCGGGCGUUCCCAAUCUCCCUCCCCCACCCCUUCAGCCAGUUCUUAAAGGAGCAGGCCUGCAAUCUGGGAAGGCGGGAGAAAUGGAGGAAAACUAAAUGUGCAUGUGGCGUGAGUGUGCCUGUGUGUGCGUGUGUGUGCGGGAGCAUGCGGGAGUAUCUGUGUGUGCCUGUGUCUAUGUGUUGACUGUGUAACUGUGUCAGAAGGCCUAUGUGUCUGAGUGUGUUGCUAUUUCUGUUUCUGUCUCCACCUAUGUGUCACCAUUAUGCUGCAUGUGUCUGGAAUAUUUACCUAUGCGGCCGACCCUGAUGAACCCCUUUGGCUGUGGAAUUGAAGUUGGGCACCGG
rnacentral:lncRNA from 1 species